GUUUUAGCCUUCAUUUCAAGGGCAGAAACUUCGGGAACAGGAGCUGUGGUAGCGAUGCUUCUGGAGUUUCUAUUCCCACAGCUAGAACCUAACUUUUCCAACAGAGGUCGCUGCUGAGCCCGCUUCUCCAUUCUCAGGUGUAUUGAGAAACCACAGGGACGCGUAAAGGCUGAGACUUGAGGUUCCCUAGCUGGCAAAAUUGAGUUGAAGACAACUAAGUUAGAGAGACCUCUUCAGGAAGGGGUACCAACCAAAAGAAAGAGCAUCCCCAGGAAGGAGCGCCUUAGGAAAGCCUUGGCAUGGUGGUCAAAUGCCCAAGCCGUGCCCUUGGACUGCCCUGACGUUGCAUCACAGCUCUGCCACUCACUGCCUACGUGAACUUGACCUUUUGUUCUGCAGUGACGUGACCGGAGAGCUACAAAUUCACUCCGCCACAGUGCUGGGCAGUCUUGUCAUUCCUGCCACCUGCUGUAUUUCUUGGAAGCCAGCCUGGCUCUGGAGUAGACCCCAAGAGGUGACUGUGAUCCCCAAGCCUGUCCCCACCCCUCCACGAACAUCUUUAUUAAACGUUCCUGCCGGGUUCUGAGCCGUCAAGCUUUGAUUUACUUUCCCUUUCAAGAGCCGAGGGAAUAAAGCUGUCAAGUACAAGCUGAGGAUUUGAACU
rnacentral:lncRNA from 1 species